rnacentral:lncRNA from 1 species
GCUGUUCCUAUUCGGCCAUCUUGGCUCCUCCUCUCGAAAAUGAUCUUUCUUUUUCUUUUUCGUGGAUGUUUUCAUUUUUACUUCUGUAAAAUGAAAAGUAAUGUUCAAUUCAAUGUUGGCUGACAUUGAAUAAUAAUUCUUUUUCUUAAAAAGUACAAUCUGAACUUUUACAGCAUAAAUGAUAAAUGGCAACAUUUGCUGUAUCUAACCUGGUUACUAUAUAAGGCACAAAAAGAGCUCAGAAGAUAAGACUGAACAACUGCCAUUUUUCUUGCUUGAAGAUCUUCAGUACCACAAGAGUGGGCCCACUAUUUACUCCUGAGCAGUCACUGUCCUUGUAGUUGUAAUUUUGUGCUUGGGUAUUCUCCAAAGCCUCUUGUUCCUUUGAAAAUUAUGUAUUUUCAAACAUCGGUGUUCUGGUCCUUGGAUCAUGGCUAUACCAUGCCUCCUGGAGUUUCAGUUAAUGUGGAGCUUUCAGAACUGUGAACUGUUGUCUCCACAUCUGAUGCUGAAGCUCGAAGCCUAAGGCACAAGCAGUUAGGAAGGGAAGGUCAUAAGCAGGCUGGAACCCACAAGCAUGAGCUGGAACCCUGCAAAGAUGGACUGAAACCCUGUUUGUUCUUGUUGCCUCUGACCCUAGUGAUGAGUGUGUCCUGCAGAAGCCAGGCCCUUCAUCGUGGAGUUAACCUGACACCUGGCCCAGGAGUCAGAGGCGCUGAAGGAGGAUUCAGGGCAGGUGGAUCGAGUUUGGGCCCAGAUGCUGCUCAAUACCAUGACAGUGAGCCAUGAGCUCAGCAACAGUUUGUGUGAGCUACAGAAUGGCUGCAUCACUUCUGCUGCUCCAAGAAGCUCACACAGAGAAAAAGUAAAUCCCUUCGUAAGAAGCUGAGAUAACAGAAUGAGGAAACUGGUCCUAGGCCAGAAAAGAGGAAUGUUCUCAGGUGAAGCGCCAAGUAUGUCACUGAAAGCCCAGUGGAGUUAAGUGUGCAAAGUCAGUCUGAACAUAUGCUGUAAUGGAUUUGACCUCGAAUAGCACUACAAAGAGAAAUUGCAGAUAACCAUCUGAACUGACUUCUGAAGCUUGUAGUUCUGGCUCCUGAGAUACAGAGAGAAAAGUGAGACCAAACAGGUGGGAGCAAACAACUCAGAGAGACCAGAAUGAAUACGAGUCUAACUUUAAAAGUAAAUAAAAUUAAAUAAAAAUGAUUUAUUCUAUAGCUCUUUGUCUUUUAUUGGUUCCCACACAAUGUCCACACAAUAAACAG